CAAAGGCAUGCAUGCACCAUAUGUCUUUGUUUAUCUAUGGUAUGGUGCUUAAUGCUGAUGCAGAGCUUUAGUUGCGUCCCUAAUGUUCAUGGCUAGUGACCGACACAUAUCUUCAUCUCCUUAUGUUUUCUAAACCAUACCUAAUGAUUCAAAAGCAAUUAAAGAGAGAGAAAAAGAAAUCAUAAGUUAGGAUUGUUUCAACUUCUUUCGGUAUGUGAUUGGAAAUUAUUUGCACGUCUUCAGAUAUGUAAAAGGGUUCGCUUUUUUG
rnacentral:lncRNA from 1 species